rnacentral:rRNA from 1 species
CUACGGGCCGCACCAGUGAGGAAUAUUGGACAAUGGGCGAAAGCCUGAUCCAGCGACGCCGCGUGGGUGAAGAAGGCCUUCGGGUUGUAAAGCCCUGUCAGAGGGGACGAAGUUCUGACGGUACCCUCAGAGGAAGCACAGGCUAACUCCGUGCCAGCAGCCGCGGUAAUACGGAGUGUGCGAGCGUUGCUCGGAAUCACUGGGCGUAAAGGGCACGUAGGCGGCCUCGUGUGUUGGGUGUGAAAGCCCACGGCUCAACCGUGGAACUGCACUCAAAACUGCGAGGCUAGAGUACGGAAGAGGAAGGCGGAAUUCCCAGUGUAGGGGUGAAAUCCGUAGAUAUUGGGAAGAACACCAGUGGCGAAGGCGGCCUUCUGGGACGAUACUGACGCUGAUGUGCGAAAGCGUGGGGAGCAAACAGGAUUAGAUACCCCAGUAGUC